rnacentral:pre_miRNA from 1 species
AGAGCGUCGUUAUGGCACACCGGUGGCGUCGCUUCGUUGACUUGCGGUGCCGUCGCAGUGACGUCACCGGAGUGCCUUAACGACGCGGC